rnacentral:rRNA from 2 species
AGAUCUUGGUGGUAGUAGCAAAUAUUCAAGUGAGAACCUUGAAGGCCGAGGUGGAGAAGGGUUCCAUGGGAACAGCAGUUGACCAUGGGUCAGGCGGUCCUAAGUGAUCCGGUAAAUCGGAACAGAGACGGGGUGCCU